AGAGUUUGAUCAUGGCUCAGAUUGAACGCUGGCGGCAGGCCUAACACAUGCAAGUCGAACGGUAACAGGAAGCAGCUUGCUGCUUCGCUGACGAGUGGCGGACGGGUGAGUAAUGUCUGGGAAGCUGCCUGAUGGAGGGGGAUAACUACUGGAAACGGUAGCUAAUACCGCAUAAUGUCGCAAGACCAAAGAGGGGGACCUUCGGGCCUCUUGCCAUCGGAUGUGCCCAGAUGGGAUUAGCUUGUUGGUGGGGUGACGGCUCACCAAGGCGACGAUCCCUAGCUGGUCUGAGAGGAUGACCAGCCACACUGGAACUGAGACACGGUCCAGACUCCUACGGGAGGCAGCAGUGGGGAAUAUUGCACAAUGGGCGCAAGCCUGAUGCAGCCAUGCCGCGUGUAUGAAGAAGGCCUUCGGGUUGUAAAGUACUUUCAGCGGGGAGGAAGGGAGUAAAGUUAAUACCUUUGCUCAUUGACGUUACCCGCAGAAGAAGCACCGGCUAACUCCGUGCCAGCAGCCGCGGUAAUACGGAGGGUGCAAGCGUUAAUCGGAAUUACUGGGCGUAAAGCGCACGCAGGCGGUUUGUUAAGUCAGAUGUGAAAUCCCCGGGCUCAACCUGGGAACUGCAUCUGAUACUGGCAAGCUUGAGUCUCGUAGAGGGGGGUAGAAUUCCAGGUGUAGCGGUGAAAUGCGUAGAGAUCUGGAGGAAUACCGGUGGCGAAGGCGGCCCCCUGGACGAAGACUGACGCUCAGGUGCGAAAGCGUGGGGAGCAAACAGGAUUAGAUACCCUGGUAGUCCACGCCGUAAACGAUGUCGACUUGGAGGUUGUGCCCUUGAGGCGUGGCUUCCGGAGCUAACGCGUUAAGUCGACCGCCUGGGGAGUACGGCCGCAAGGUUAAAACUCAAAUGAAUUGACGGGGGCCCGCACAAGCGGUGGAGCAUGUGGUUUAAUUCGAUGCAACGCGAAGAACCUUACCUGGUCUUGACAUCCACGGAAGUUUUCAGAGAUGAGAAUGUGCCUUCGGGAACCGUGAGACAGGUGCUGCAUGGCUGUCGUCAGCUCGUGUUGUGAAUGUUGGGUUAAGUCCCGCAACGAGCGCAACCCUUAUCCUUUGUUGCCAGCGGUCCGGCCGGGAACUCAAAGGAGACUGCCAGUGAUAAACUGGAGGAAGGUGGGGAUGACGUCAAGUCAUCACGGCCCUUACGACCAGGGCUACACACGUGCUACAAUGGCGCAUACAAAGAGAAGCGACCUCGCGAGAGCAAGCGGACCUCAUAAAGUGCGUCGUAGUCCGGAUUGGAGUCUGCAACUCGACUCCAUGAAGUCGGAAUCGCUAGUAAUCGUGGAUCAGAAUGCCACGGUGAAUACGUUCCCGGGCCUUGUACACACCGCCCGUCACACCAUGGGAGUGGGUUGCAAAAGAAGUAGGUAGCUUAACCUUCGGGAGGGCGCUUACCACUUUGUGAUUCAUGACUGGGGUGAAGUCGGAACAAGGUA
rnacentral:rRNA from 1 species